rnacentral:rRNA from 1 species
UACGGAGGGUGCGAGCGUUAUUCGGAAUUAUUGGGCGUAAAGGGCGCGUAGGCGGCUUGCUAAGUCAAAGGUGAAAUCCCUCGGCUCAACUGAGGAACUGCCUUUGAGACUGUCGGGCUUGAGGCCGGGAGGGGGUAGCGGAAUUCCCAGUGUAGCGGUGAAAUGCGUAGAUAUUGGGAGGAACACCAGUGGCGAAGGCGGCUACCUGGACCGGUUCUGACGCUGAUGCGCGAAAGCGUGGGUAGCAAACAGG